GCCUAGGCUCUCCAUUCCCCCUCCCAUGACAUCACAAACAAUUGCCACUCUAGGACGCCGCAUUCGCUCUCCUUAACGGUCCAGGCAUUCCACAGUUAUGCUGGAACACACAGACAUAGACACAGACACACCCCAUGGGUGUCUUACUCCAACAGUAUUUGUUUCCAGAUAGUAAGUCAUCUGAUAGGACAAAAGUCAAUAGAAAACAGGAGAAGUGUCUUCUUAUCAACAUCUUCAGUUAUAGGACCAUCUCUUGACAAAUCCCAAGAUGACUGCAGCUUAUGAGCUUCUCCGGCCAUAAAAAAGUCCAAGAAAUCUCCACACCUAACAAGCUUGAGAUUCUUACAAUGGAAAAUAAACUUCUGAAAGACAAAAACUGGAAUUCUUCCAACUUUCCUCUGACUUAAUUGGGUACUCCAAAAUACAACAAAUAAGAAGCAUAUAAA